rnacentral:rRNA from 1 species
AGCGUUAUCCGGAAUUAUUGGGCGUAAAGAGCUCGUAGGCGGUUUGUCGCGUCUGCUGUGAAAUCCCGAGGCUCAACCUCGGGCCUGCAGUGGGUACGGGCAGACUAGAGUGCGGUAGGGGAGAUUGGAAUUCCUGGUGUAGCGGUGGAAUGCGCAGAUAUCAGGAGGAACACCGAUGGCGAAGGCAGAUCUCUGGGCCGUAACUGACGCUGAGGAGCGAAAGGGUGGGGAGCAAACAGGCUUAGAUACCCUGGUAGUCCACCCCGUAAACGUUGGGAACUAGUUGUGGGGACCAUUCCACGGUUUCCGUGACGCAGCUAACGCAUUAAGUUCCCCGCCUGGGGAGUACGGCCGCAAGGCUAAAACUCAAAGGAA